rnacentral:lncRNA from 1 species
GUUGCCUUCUUUGGACAAAACGAACUCAAAAACACUUUUUUUUUUUUCUACUUCUAGCAUUGAUGCAAAUGCCAUUUCCCGCUUGAGGUUUUGCUUGACUGUCUUUAUCGGGCCAAGAGAGUCCAUUGAGAUGUAAUCAUGCAGCUUCAGCAUCAGAUAUGCUCCUGCACCUUAUCAGAGGGCCGGAAGAGAAAGAAGAAUGGGGGAAAAUCAGUCCAGUCGCACAUGGCAGGAAUAAAAGGAACGAGUGGACGUCUGGAGGUCUGGCGCUGGUUUUUGGCUCCUGUAGUUGAACGGUGACCCGCCUCCGGUUGUGUGUCUCAUGAUGUUCUUAUGCAAGGCAGAACGGAGACGGGAAAGUCACAAAACAUGUUUACUCUCAUCCUUCACUCCCGCUGCAGUCGAUAGGGCUCGCGCUGCUCUUAAACCCAUUACGGAUGUGCUUCGGCCAACUGUGAAACCUCUGUCUGCUCCAUAUCUGCCGCCAACUCCAAUCAACACUGAACUCCAGCGGCCCAAAACAUCCACGGCUGUCAUACACAUGCUUCCAGAGAGCGUCGCCGUGUGA